rfam:Clostridium novyi NT, complete genome.
UGAAAAACGAAGACGGGGAAGAGUAAAUAAAAGAUAGUCUAAAGAGAGUGGGAAAAGGUGAGAGCCCAUGACGAAGAUUUUAUUGAAAAUCACCCCUGAGUUGCAAGCUGAAAUAAGAGUAAGCUGAGCCGGCAUUGCCGUUAAAGUUAGAGUUAUAAAUUUGAGUGGUACCGCGAUUAUAAGAUUCCUUCGCCUCAUGG